AAUAAGUACAGCCAUAAGUUUCUGCAUCCAACUUUGAUCGUCCGUCUUAUUUAAAUUUUUUUUAUAAUUAGCAAUUUUGUUGUUAUAAGAUGAUAAAACAUGAAUAGUACUUUACUCGUGACAUAUGUUUUUAAUUUUUUUAAAUUUUUUUAAAUAAGAUGAAUGGUUAAAGUUGGACGCUGAAAACCAUGGCUACACUUUGA
rfam:Oryza glumipatula chromosome 7, whole genome shotgun sequence.